rnacentral:rRNA from 1 species
UACGUAGGGGGCAAGCGUUGUCCGGAAUCAUUGGGCGUAAAGAGCGUGUAGGCGGCCUGGUAAGUCCGCUGUGAAAGUCCAGGGCUCAACCCUGGAAUGCCGGUGGAAACUGUCAGGCUCGAGUCCGGAAGAGGCGAGUGGAAUUCCUGGUGUAGCGGUGAAAUGCGCAGAUAUCAGGAGGAACACCAAUGGCGAAGGCAGCUCGCUGGGACGGUACUAACGCUGAGACGCGAAAGCGUGGGGAGCAAACAGG